AACCUAUUAGCUCAAAUGGUAGAGCACUAUGCAAAUGCAUAGGAGGAGAUGUAGGUUCGACUCCUACAUAGGUUG
rfam:Spinacia oleracea cultivar SynViroflay scaffold74163.1, whole genome shotgun sequence.